UACGUAGGGUGCGAGCGUUGUCCGGAAUUAUUGGGCGUAAAGAGCUUGUAGGCGGUUUGUCGCGUCUGCCGUGAAAAUCCGGGGCUCAACCCCGGACUUGCGGUGGGUACGGGCAGACUAGAGUGUGGUAGGGGAGACUGGAAUUCCUGGUGUAGCGGUGAAAUGCGCAGAUAUCAGGAGGAACACCGGUGGCGAAGGCGGGUCUCUGGGCAGUAACUGACGCUGAGGAGCGAAAGCGUGGGGAGCGAACAGG
rnacentral:rRNA from 1 species